AAUCGUCUGAGACAUGCGAUUACUGCCGU
rnacentral:sRNA from 1 species